rnacentral:rRNA from 1 species
CGGGGUGCAGCAGGCGCGAAACCUUUGCCCUUUCGAAAGUGUGACAGGGCUAUCCCGAGUGCCAUCCGCUGAGGAAGGCUUUUACCCAGUCUAGAACGCUGGGGGAAUAAGGAGAGGGCAAGUCUGGUGUCAGCCGCCGCGGUAAUACCAGCUCUCCGAGUGGUGUGGAUGUUUAUUGGGCCUAAAGCAUCCGUAGCUGGCUAGGUAAGUCCCUUGUUAAAUCCACCGAAUUAAUCGUUGGAUCGCGGGGGAUACUGCUUGGCUAGGGGACGAGAGAGGCAGACGGUAUUUUCGGGGUAGGGGUGAAAUCCUAUAAUCCCGGGAAGACCACCAGUGGCGAAGGCUGUCUGCUAGAACGCGCCCGACGGUGAGGGAUGAAAGCUGGGGGAGCGAACCGGAUUAGAUACCCGGGUAGUCCCAGCUGUAAACGAUGCAGACUAGGUGUUUGGACGGCCACGUGCCGUUCUAGUGCCGCAGGGAAGCUGUUAAGUCUGCCGCCUGGGGAGUACGAUCGCAAGAUUGAAACUUAAAGGAAUUGGCGGGGGAGCAC